CGCAUCUGUGCAUGCAGCAUAUCAAUAAGCGGAGGAAAAGACUGCGGAACUGAACGACCGCUACCUACGCUUAGGAUGUUGACGUGACUGUCGAUCAUCUAUACAUGACUCUGUGCAUAUCAAUAAGCGGAGGAAAAGAAACUAACAAGGAUUCCCCUAGUAACGGCGAGUGAAGCGGGAAGAGCUCAAAUUUGAAAUCUUAAAGGGUUUCCCUUUACGAAUUGUAGUUUAAAGAAGUGUUUUCUGUUGAGGUUUUGGUAAAAGUUCUUAGGAAUAGGACAUCAUAGAGGGUGAGAAUCCCGUAUUUGACCUUUACUUUCAACUUUGUGAUACACUUUCAAAGAGUCGGAUUGUUUGGGAAUGCAGUCCGAAAUGGGUGGUAAAUUUCAUCUAAAGCUAAAUAUUGGCGAGAGACCGAUAGCGAACAAGUACCGUGAGGGAAAGAUGAAAAGAACUUUGAAAAGAGAGUUAAACAGUACGUGAAAUUGUCAAAAGGGAAGCGUUUGACACCAGUGUUGUUUUUCUGAAAAUCAAUUAAAGGAACUGUUUAUGCUAAGCUUGUUUAGACUUUAUCAGCUAACUGUUUAGUUUUGAGCUUUUCUUUAAUGCACUUUUCAGUUAACAAGUCAACAUCAAUUUCUUUUGCUGUAAAAAAGCUUGAGGAAGGUGGCUUGAGAUUCGUCUUAAGUGUUUAUAGCCUCUUGCCUAUGCAGUCGGAGAGAUUGAGGUCUGCAGCGUAGAUCCUUCGGGGCUAAAUGCAUUUGUGCUAAGUUAUAGCAUUUUAUAGACAACUUGUUGACUAUGAUUUAGUCUUGUAGCUUACUCGCUUAUGUUAUUUUACCUACGCUUAGGAUGUUGACGAGACUGUCGAUCUC
rnacentral:rRNA from 1 species